ACUCCUACGGGAGGCAGCAGUGGGGAAUAUUGCACAAUGGAGGAAACUCUGAUGCAGCAACGCCGCGUGGAGGAUGACGCAUUUCGGUGUGUAAACUCCUUUUAUAUGGGAAGAUAAUGACGGUACCAUAUGAAUAAGCACCGGCUAACUCCGUGCCAGCAGCCGCGGUAAUACGGAGGGUGCAAGCGUUACUCGGAAUCACUGGGCGUAAAGCGCAUGCAGGCGGUCUAAUAAGUUGGAAGUGAAAGCCUAUGGCUCAACCAUAGAACUGCUUCCAAAACUAUUAGACUAGAGUCUGGGAGGGGAAGAUGGAAUUAGUAGUGUAGGGGUAAAAUCCGUAGAGAUUACUAGGAAUACCAAAAGCGAAGGCGAUCUUCUGGAACAGUACUGACGCUGAGAUGCGAAAGCGUGGGGAGCAAACAGGAUUAGAUACCCUGGUAGUCCACGCAGUAAACGAUGAAUGUUAGUCGUUGGUAUCCUAGAGAUAUCAGUGAUGCAGUUAACACAUUAAACAUUCCGCCUGGGGAGUACGGUCGCAAGAUUAAAACUCAAAGGAAUAGACGGGGACCCGCACAAGUGGUGGAGCAUGUGGUUUAAUUCGAAGAUACGCGAAGAACCUUACCUAGCCUUGACAUAUUUUAGAAUUCACCAGAGAUGGAGAAGUGCCUUCGGGAGCUAAUAUACAGGUGCUGCACGGCUGUCGUCAGCUCGUGUCGUGAGAUGCUGGGUUAAGUCCCGCAACGAGCGCAACCCUCGUCACUAGUUACUAACGAUUCGGUCGAGGACUCUAGUGAGACUGCCUUCGUAAGGAGGAGGAAGGUGAGGACGACGUCAAGUCAUCAUGGCCCUUACGGCUAGGGCAACACACGUGCUACAAUGGUUAGGACAAUGAGAAGCAAUAUCGCGAGGUGGAGCAAAUCUAUAAACCUAAUCUCAGUU
rnacentral:rRNA from 1 species